GACUCUAAAAGAAUACAGCUCCCAGGAAAGGUGUGCAACCUAACUCUGUUUUCCCUCUGGCGACCUGUCGUGGUCACAUUUAGGAAGCACUGCUGGUAGUAACGAACAGUGCUGGGAAGGAGAUUAGGAAGCACGCCAGUACCAUGGCACCUAUGAAGAAAUGGGAAGACAAUCCUCAGAAGUUUGUAUUCUUCCAAUCAAAUGGAGCCCUAGAUCAGAUCCAGGAGUCCCGAGGACUAGCUUGGCCUAUGAUCGUCACUUCAAAUCCUUAGAAGGAGCUUCCUCGCUAGGCCGGGCUGGACCGACAGCCUCCAAAACAAUACAGAGAAACCCUGUCUUGUAAAAACAAAAAACAACAACAACAACAACAAAAAACAACAACAAAAAAAGAGCUUCCUCAGUCCUGUUUUUUGUGUGCUUCAAUGUUGCUUUGUUGAACCUUGCCCCUUUAGAAGGCGGGUGCUUUUAUCUGGCCUCUGGUGAGUGAAGGCUUGACAUUACCAACCCCCAAGGUUCAGGAUCACAGGGGAACCACAGCUGCAGACACAAAGCAUUCGAGUGUGUUCCUGGUACAACUGCACCUGCUCGACACUCGGCUCCUGGCUUAUGCUUUUUUUCUUCCCUACCCCAACUCUCACUCUGCGCACUAAACUUCUGCCAUAUUUUCAAUGAGACCGCUUCAAACCACAGGGCCUGCCUCAGGAAAGCCAUUAACCUAGGCAGAGUGUUCAUCUGAGGAACACAUCAGAACAGGAAGGAAGCCACAGCUCGGUGGCUUGUACUUUGCGUCCCUUGACUGGCAGAAAGAAGAGGCUUAUAUGUACGAAUUUGCCUCCUGACAUUCUUCAGAAACAGCAGAGCUGAUGAAAACUGGGGAAAACGACCCCGUAAGAAACACUGCUGACAUUUCUGAAGAUGUCCUACUUCUUUGUUGACAACUGUAAGCCUUUAAUUCAAGACACAUUUGUAAAUCAAAUAUUGACCAACAAGUAUUCACUCUCCGUGGAUGUUGUGCAAAUGCUAUAGGCACCAAAAUUUAAAAACAAGACUAAACUAAAAACAACAACAACAAACAAAACAAAACAAAACCAAAAUCAAACCAAAACAACAACAAAACCCAAAACCUUACAGGGCAACUUCCGGCUUUGUUUAAACAGGGAGGAAUCUGCCCUUAUCUUAGUCUUGUGGGCCUUUCGAUCUUAUGUCUCGAUGCUCUCAGGACCCCCAUUCUGUCGAAAACCAGCUGCCAGAGCCUCUUUUAUGAAUUCGCAUAACUCCCUUCCUCUUUCUUGUAGAACAAAGAUCCUCACGUAUUUUUGUUUUAUUUCUGUUCUGGGGAUCCAAUUGAGAGCCAAGGAGAAGCAAGUAUUCUGGCACUCAGGCCCACCCUCACUUCCCGUCACGGCCUUUCUGAAGGUUGCUUCUCAUCUGCCUUCUCCCUUGAGAGACGUUUGAUACAGUAACUUGCCAAAAGCAACUCAUUCGUUCUGAGCACACUCCAGGAACAUUUAACGCAGCUACACCGUACUUAAAAAAAAUAGUCUUCACAAAAGAAGGGUAAGACUACCGCACAGAGGGGGCUAAGAGGUGAGUGGCCAGCUUCACAUCUGGACCAAAGAGCCCCCAGGCCCUAGGUCAUGGGGCAAAAUCCCACGCCCUUCCCUCACCCAUGUCAGCUGCCCUAGCUGGUCAGCAGGAAAGGUUCCUGAAGGCAGGUUACACCCACAGCCUCUCACAGCACCCCAUAACCUACAAGUCCCAUUCUUCCCCCAACCCCACUCAUCCUUUGAGACCUUAGUGGCUGGUUCCCUGAGACACAGACAUCUGCUGCACAGAGAGGGCUGAGAGAGAGGACUGAGAGAGAAGGCGGAGAGAGGGGCUUGAGAGGAUCAGCAAAGACACUGCCUGCACCGACUGCAGGAAUGCAGGAAGAGAUGGAUAGACACCAAUGCAAGAAUACAUUCAACAACCCAAAAGCAAUAUGGUGUCACCAGAACCUAGUGGUACUACAGCAAGAAGACCUGAACUUCCCAACGCAGAAGAAGCAGAAGAAAAUGACCUUAAAAUAACUUUAUAAAGACCAUAGAGGCCCUUAAAGGAGAAAUGAGGAGAAAACAAAUAAAAAAUGGGAAGAAAC